rnacentral:rRNA from 1 species
AAUAUUGGACAAUGGGCGAAAGCCUGAUCCAGCCAUGCCGCGUGCAGGAUGAAGGCCUUCGGGUUGUAAACUGCUUUUGUACGGAACGAAAAACUUUGGGUUAAUACCCUGGGUUCAUGACGGUACCGUAAGCAUAAGCACCGGCCACCUACGGUCCCGCAGCCGCGGGAAUACGUAGGGUGCAAGCGUUAAUCGGAAUUACUGGGCGUAAAGCGUGCGCAGGCGGUUUUGUAAGACAGAGGUGAAAUCCCCGGGCUCAACCUGGGAACUGCCUUUGUGACUGCAAGGCUAGAGUACGGCAGAGGGGGGUGGAAUUCCGCGUGUAGCAGUGAAAUGCGUAGAUAUGCGGAGGAACACCGAUGGCGAAGGCAACCCCCUGGGCCUGUACUGACGCUCAUGCACGAAAGCGUGGGGAGCAAACAGG